UGCCUGGUAGCUCAAUUGGCAGAGCAGCUGGCUGUUAACCAGCGGGUUGCAGGUUCGAGUCCUGCCCAGGCAGCCA
rnacentral:tRNA from 1 species